CCUACGGGUGGCAGCAGUAGGGAAUAUUUCACAAUGGGGGAAACCCUGAUGCAGCAACGCCGCGUGCGUGAUGAAGUCUUUCGGUUUGUAAACUUCUUUCAUCAGCGAGGAAAAUGACGGUACCUUACGAAUAAGCCCCGGCUAACUACGUGCCAGCAGCCGCGGUCAUACGUAGGGUGCAAGCGUUAUCCGGAUUGACUGGGUGUAAAGAGAGCGUAGGCGGUUAAUCAAGUCAGAAGUGAAAACCUAGGGCUAAACCCUGGGACUGCUUUUGAAACUGAGUAGCUAGAGUGCAGGAGAGGUAAGUGGAAUUAUUAGUGUAGGGGUGAAAUCCGUAGAUAUUAGGAGGAACACCAGUGGCGAAGGCGGCUUACUGGAACGUAACUGACGCUGAGGCACGAAAGCGUAGGGAGCAAACAGGAUUAGAUACCCGAGUAGUC
rnacentral:rRNA from 1 species